AUAUGGAUGAUUCUGAUUUUACAAAUGCUGAUGACUUUUGACUUCAAAGAUACGCAUUGUCACUAAGAAUAAGAUCAUCAACAAUAUAAAAGUUCGAUAUAUCUGUAGGAGUGGGUUUUAUGACGGCAUAGCUUUAUCACUUAUAAGGACAGCUACGUCUUCGGUUUAGCUUCAAACGGGACUUUUCUAUACAGAAUAUAAAAAAAAAACUUCAAAACUUUUUAAGAUACUCUUCAAACAAUGAAUACAGUAAAAAAUGUUGGAAUUGUAACAGUCUUCUUAGCAUUAUUAGUUCAUAUUAGUCAAGGCAGAAAUAUACAGCUAGACUGUCUAGAAUUGUGUGCUGAAGGGAUAAAUCCAUUGAAAUAUAACAUGAACUGUGACUGUUUUAAUACUAGCCCAUUCCAAUACGUAAAACGCACCGUUAAACUUCCAUUCAGAUAUGGUAAACGAAGUUUUGUGGGAUACCCUUCAGGAUUACAACAAUAUUUCAGAAACGGAUACGGGGUAAAGCCUUAUGAUGCCAAUCCUUUCCUGUCAAGAGAAGCAUAUGAAGACUACUGAAUGGUCAAUUCUGCUAACCUCUAGUCACAUGGUUGUGAAGCCAAUUUGUGACCCGAUUGAAAUUUAAAAUCGUUUAAAACGAACAUUAAGUGCCUGAAACACAUAAUUUUAAUAGAAGUUAAAUUCAGUGCGCUAGAAUAUUUCGGUCUUUUAAUUACUUUUUAUUAUUGACAUAUUCUCAUGUUUUAUUUGAUUGUAUACAUUCUGGUUUAUUUUUCCGUCCUAUAAAUGUUUUAUUAGAUAAAGUAUUCUUGUAAAGCUACACCCUCUUAUGCCACAAUACAUUUGGAUAAUAUAUCCCUUAUCGAUGAAAUUAAUAGACCAGCAACAGAAAUUUGGAAUAAUAUUAUUUUUCGGCUGUGCUAUUUCUCAUAGAAGUACAUUGGAUUACGCUUAUUUGUAAGAGAUAUUUAGAUAUUUCCUUUUUGUAAUUGGUAAGGCAUUUGUCGUGAUUAUCCAUGCAUUUUGUAUUGCAUAUAAACGGAAGGUUUUAUCUAAAUUUAACAUGUAGGUGAAUAUACCACGUAGAAGUUAUUCGUCAAAUAAUUAUAUAUGAUAGAUAAAUACUUGAAAAAUCUUCAGCGACAAAGCCCGAAUUUACCACUCCACAGUAAACCUACAUUUUUUAACAGCUUUUCCAUUGUAACAUUUAAAAACCGGGGGGAGGGGAGGGGGGUUCCCUGUAAUAGAUUUAUAGAUUGUCUGUAUGUAUGCAGUGAAAAAGAACAUCUUAGUCCCUCAAGUACAUAAAGCAAAUUUGGACUUAUUGUAAAAGGACUACCUUCUAUUUGCAGCAUUAAUUUGCGGUAUUGAGAAUAUAAACCAUAUUAUAACAUUUAGAAAUUUCCGUUUUUAGGAAAUGAAAUACAUUUACAGUUAAUUGAAUCAAUACAUAUUGGAUGAAUUAGUGGGAGAGAAUUUUAUUCUUACCUCUUCUGAAGCAGAAUUUUAAAUCGAGAAUGAUGAAUUAUUAAUCGUCUUUAAACUACGAUAAGUUUGGCCUACAAGUUUAAAAGAAUACCUUUCUGGAAAAUGCUUAGGAAAUAUCUCAUACACUGAUAUAUCUUUUGAACUUCAUUUAUUUACCGAAUUGAAUUGCCUAUUGAAAUAAUCUGGAUUUAAUCUUCAAAAUUAAGUCAACUUAAAUGUUCUUUUAGUCCAUCGUAUUGCGCACACAAUUUCAUCUAGAAUCAUUUUUUACACUAUUCAUUCAGAUGGACAUGCUUUACAUAUCAAGAUGUUUGUCUUUGAAAUAUAUGACAUAUAAAAAAGAAUGUUUAAGUUUUCUUUAUUGUAAAGGUUUCUGUUUACAAUAAAACUAUUUAUCUGUG